GCCUGGGUGGCGGAACUGGUAGACGCAAGGGACUUAAAAUCCCUCACAGCUUGACUGUAUGAGGAUUCGAUUUCCUCCCCAGGCACCA
rnacentral:tRNA from 1 species